AGUUUUUGUAAUUUAAAUUAAAAUACUGAUUUUGUAAUUCAGAAAUAAACUAAGUUUUAAAAACUUC
rnacentral:tRNA from 1 species